rnacentral:rRNA from 1 species
AUUGAACGCUGGCGGCAGGCCUAACACAUGCAAGUCGAACGGUAACAGGAAGCAGCUUGCUGCUUCGCUGACGAGUGGCGGCCGGGUGAGUAAUGUCUGUGAAGCUGCCUGAUGGAGGGGGAUAACUACUGGAAACGGUAGCUAAUACCGCAUAAUGUCGCAAGACCAAAGAGGGGGACCUUCGGGCCUCUUGCCAUCGGAUGUGCCCAGAUGGGAUUAGCUUGUUGGUGGGGUAACGGCUCACCAAGGCGACGAUCCCUAGCUGGUCUGAGAGGAUGACCAGCCACACUGGGACUGAGACACGGUCCAGACUCCUACGGGAGGCAGCAGUGGGGAAUAUUGCACAAUGGGCGCAAGCCUGAUGCAGCCAUGCCGCGUGUAUGAAGAAGGCCUUCGGGUUGUAAAGUACUUUCAGCGGGGAGGAAGGGAGUAAAGUUAAUACCUUUGCUCAUUGACGUUACCCGCAGAAGAAGCACCGGCUAACUCCGUG